rnacentral:lncRNA from 1 species
CAGGCUUAGAGGGAUCAAACGAGACUAAAAAUGAAGUUAAAAUAGAUUUAAAUUCAAAGCCGAAAGAUAAUCUGAUCUAAUACACAAGUUGGUGGUCCACCAUAGACCACUUGGUUCAUAAGAAAGUUGAUAAGCCAUGAAAUGCUACAGUAAUUUUCACAUGGCUCAGCCUCUGGUGGGAUGUAUGAGAUUCAAAUCAAAAUAGGACAUCUGAGGGGUUUGUGAAACAAACAGUUUAGAUUCAAAUGGGCUUAAGAGGAGACUUUGGGUGAGCUUUGGCACGCGAGCAUGAGAUAGAACUUGGACUUGGCGUGUACACGGAAGCUAACCUUGAUGG